rnacentral:rRNA from 1 species
CGAGCGUUGUCCGGAUUUAUUGGGCGUAAAGAGCUCGUAGGCGGUUCGGUAAGUCGGGUGUGAAACCUCCAGGCUCAACCUGGAGACGCCACCCGAUACUGCUGUGACUAGAGUCCGGUAGGGGAGCGUGGAAUUCCUGGUGUAGCGGUGAAAUGCGUAGAUAUCUGGAGGAACACCGGUGGCGAAGGCGGCAUCCUGGACCAAUAUUGACGCUGAGGAGCGAAAGCCAGGGGAGCAAACGGG